rnacentral:rRNA from 1 species
UACGUAGGGGGCUAGCGUUGUCCGGAUUUAUUGGGCGUAAAGAGCGUGUAGGCGGCCAGGUAGGUCUGCUGUGAAAACUCGAGGCUCAACCUCGAGACGUCGGCGGAAACCAUCUGGCUAGAGUCCGGAAGAGGAGAGUGGAAUUCCUGGUGUAGCGGUGAAAUGCGCAGAUAUCAGGAGGAACACCGGUGGCGAAGGCGGAUCUCUGGGCCUUACCUGACGCUGAGGCGCGAAAGCUAGGGGAGCGAACAGGA